rnacentral:tRNA from 1 species
GCGGGAGUAGCUCAGUUCGGUAGAGCACCACCUUGCCAAGGUGGCUGUCGCGAGUUCAAAUCUCGUCUCCCGCU